CCUUGAGACGUCGCCAUGGUGCUAUACCGUGCCUUCCUGAUCCACAUUUUUUAACUCCUCUGGUUUACCAAAACAUGUUUCAGAAUGCUGUGUUCACCUGGUAGACAAACUAUACUUCAUUAAGAAUGUCUUAAGAGUUUUACCACACACACUGAUCCACUUAAUUUUUCUUUCCUCUGUAAGGCUAACUUAGCCGUAGGAGUCAGAGCCAUUAGCCCUUCAGUAUUUCCUGUGUUAUUUUGAGAUUUUUCAAAAGGAGCUUUGGUCAUGUGCUGAGAAGAAAUGUCAGUCAAGUCUUUAUUCUUCAUUUAGGAAGAGCCUGGAAGUAUGGGGUAUUUAAAAGUAAGAGUGGAGAAAGGGGUGAAGCUGUUGCAACCACAAAGGCAAAAAAUCUCCAAUCUAGAAAAGUGGAUUCCUUCUCAACUGACAGCACACAAACAACCUUGAAAAAAAUAAACAUCGUGGCUUAGACAAGUUUCCAUCUCUGAACGCUGGUCUUCAUUGAGAAACCAAACCACAAAUAUGCAUAAGAGGCGAUGGGGGCAGACUUCAGGAGGAAUGGUGAACUAAUUCUAAAACGAACUAGAUCAUGAGUUUUGCUCACUGAUACUUAAUCUUUAUUGAGGGGUCUGCGGUUUCUUGUCCCCAGGAUCCAGUAUUGAAGGGGAGCAAGUAGCCACUGGACUUUGCAUAGACUGAGGAAGAAAUGUAUGAACAUGGGGUUUCCUUGCUUGGCUUGAAAACAUGAAGAACAAUCAAAUUAGAUCACCAGCUAAGGUUAUUAAAAGCAUAAAAACGUUGAUUUACGACAAGCGUGUUCGCCUACAUCUAACAAUGUGCAGUUGGAUGGUUGUGUGAAAAUUCUAGCCUGUCUUGUUCCUGUAGUGAGAAACCUUUGAAAUCC
rnacentral:lncRNA from 1 species